rnacentral:rRNA from 1 species
GAACGCUGGCGGCAGGCCUAACACAUGCAAGUCGAGCGGUAGCACAGAGAGCUUGCUCUCGGGUGACGAGCGGCGGACGGGUGAGUAAUGUCUGGGAAACUGCCUGAUGGAGGGGGAUAACUACUGGAAACGGUAGCUAAUACCGCAUAACGUCGCAAGACCAAAGUGGGGGACCUUCGGGCCUCAUGCCAUCAGAUGUGCCCAGAUGGGAUUAGCUAGUAGGUGGGGUAAUGGCUCACCUAGGCGACGAUCUCUAGCUGGUCUGAGAGGAUGACCAGCCACACUGGAACUGAGACACGGUCCAGACUCCUACGGGAGGCAGCAGUGGGGAAUAUUGCACAAUGGGCGCAAGCCUGAUGCAGCCAUGUCGCGUGUAUGAAGAAGGCCUUCGGGUUGUAAAGUACUUUCAGCGAGGAGGAAGGCAUUAAGGUUAAUAACCUUGGUGAUUGACGUUACUCGCAGAAGAAGCACCGGCUAACUCCGUGCCAGCAGCCGCGGUAAUACGGAGGGUGCAAGCGUUAAUCGGAAUUACUGGGCGUAAAGCGCACGCAGGCGGUUGAUUAAGUCAGAUGUGAAAUCCCCGAGCUUAACUUGGGAACUGCAUUUGAAACUGGUCAGCUAGAGUCUUGUAGAGGGGGGUAGAAUUCCAGGUGUAGCGGUGAAAUGCGUAGAGAUCUGGAGGAAUACCGGUGGCGAAGGCGGCCCCCUGGACAAAGACUGACGCUCAGGUGCGAAAGCGUGGGGAGCAAACAGGAUUAGAUACCCUGGUAGUCCACGCUGUAAACGAUGUCGACUUGGAGGUUGUGCCCUUGAGGCGUGGCUUCCGGAGCUAACGCGUUAAGUCGACCGCCUGGGGAGUACGGCCGCAAGGUUAAAACUCAAAUGAAUUGACGGGGGCCCGCACAAGCGGUGGAGCAUGUGGUUUAAUUCGAUGCAACGCGAAGAACCUUACCUGGUCUUGACAUCCAGAGAAUUUGCUAGAGAUAGCUUAGUGCCUUCGGGAACUCUGAGACAGGUGCUGCAUGGCUGUCGUCAGCUCGUGUUGUGAAAUGUUGGGUUAAGUCCCGCAACGAGCGCAACCCUUAUCCUUUGUUGCCAGCACGUAAUGGUGGGAACUCAAAGGAGACUGCCGGUGAUAAACCGGAGGAAGGUGGGGAUGACGUCAAGUCAUCAUGGCCCUUACGAGUAGGGCUACACACGUGCUACAAUGGCAUAUACAAAGAGAAGCGAACUCGCGAGAGCAAGCGGACCUCAUAAAGUAUGUCGUAGUCCGGACUGGAGUCUGCAACUCGACUCCAUGAAGUCGGAAUCGCUAGUAAUCGUAGAUCAGAAUGCUACGGUGAAUACGUUCCCGGGCCUUGUACACACCGCCCGUCACACCAUGGGAGUGGGUUGCAAAAGAAGUAGGUAGCUUAACCUUCGGGAGGGCGCUUACCACUUUGUGAUUCAUGACUGGGGUGAA